GUAUUAUGUGUUUCUGAACUCUUUUUUGAAGACUUCCGAUUUGCUUUUGUUUUUUGUUUUUUUUGUUUUAUUUUUUGUUUUAAUCUUUUAUUAUGCAGGAAUGGAAAAUCUUCCCCAAAUAUGUGUAAAUACUACUGAUGCAUUUAUAACGACUGAAAGAUUUGGUACACGAGAAGAGGUGAUCAGAUGGAUUAAAGAGGUUGGAAUCGAUAAUAAAGUAACUGUUAUUA
rnacentral:lncRNA from 1 species